AUGUUUAUCCGGACCAGAUGUUAUGGGGACAGCCUGACCCGACCAAGCAGCAUGGAGGCCAUGGCGGGACACCUGAGGGAGAAUGAGACCCCAGAUGAUGUUCAUCCGGACCAGAUGUUUUGGGGACAGCCUGACCCGACGAAGAAGUAUGGAGGCCAUGAUGGGACACCUGUGGGAGAGGCAUCUUUCUCCCAACCUGUCCUGAUUCAGCCACCCUCUGUAUCUGCCUCCCUGGGACAAACGGUCAAACUCACCUGCGCCCCGAGCAGAAGCUACAGCAGCUGCCACGUAGACUGUCCCCAGCAGAGCUCAGCGAUGGGCACCAGGUUUACACCACCAGUGGGCAGUGCCUUCGUGAGUGUCCCCAUCACGGCCUGGAUGAUGCUUCUCCUCCGACUACUUGCUUAUGGCUCAGGGGUGGAUUCUCAGACUGUGGUGACCCAGGAGCCAUUGUACUCAGUGUCCCCUGGAGGGACAGUCACACUCAUUUGUGGCCUGAGCUCUGGCUCAGUCUCUACUAGUCACUACCCGAGCUGGUACCAGCAGACUCCAGGCCAGGCUCCACGAAUGCUCAUCUACAGCACAAACACUCACCCUUCUGGGGUCCCUGAUCGCUUCUCUGGCACCAUCCUUGGGAACAAAGCUGCCUUCACCAUCACAGGGGCUCAGGCAGAUGAUGAAUCUGAUUAUUACUGUAUGCUAUACAUGGGUAGUGGCAUUUCCAACAUCUGAGGAAGUGCAACUAAAACCUCUUUAUAUACUCAGAACAGUUCAGCCCUUAGAGUCAGGAGGGAAAUGGAGAGGGAAAUGGUCAACGCCGUGAGUGAGGUGUCCCCCUGCCCCAAUCUCUUAUGCAGGGGUUCACUGCCAAGUGCCUAA